rnacentral:rRNA from 1 species
CCUACGGGUGGCAGCAGUGAGGAAUAUUGGUCAAUGGUCGUAAGCCUGAACCAGCCAAGCCGCGUGCAGGAAGACGGUCCUACGUAUCGUAAACCGCUUUUAUCAGGGAACAAAAUCCGUCACGUGUCACCUUAUGAAGGUACCUCAUGAAUAAGCAUCGGCUAAGUCCGUGCCAGCAGCCGCGGUAAUACGGAGGGUCCGGGCGUUAUCCGGAUUUAUUGGGUUUAAAGGGUGCGUAGGCGGCAUGUUAAGUGUGCGGGAAAAUCCCGGGGCUCAACCCGGGCGGGCCGUGGAGACUGGGGGGCUUGAGUGGGCGAGAGGUAUGCGGAAUUCGUGGUGUAGCGGUGAAAUGCUUAGAUAUCGCGUAGAACCCCGAUUGCGAAGGCAGCGUACGGGAUCGCUACUGACGCUGAGGCACGAAAGCGUGGGUAUCGAACAGGAUUAGAUACCCUGGUAGUC